rnacentral:rRNA from 1 species
GCUGGCGUGUUGGAGAGGGGAGGAGGGGCGUGCUGGGGAGAGCGGAGGAGGAGGGGCGUGCAGAGAGCGGAGGAGGAGCUAGAGCGAGCGGGGUAGGAGGAGGAGGGCACGGCAAGCGGAGGGGCAACAAGAGCGUCGGAACGCGGCGGCAAUCAGCGUCCUCGGUGGGGCGGCGCGAGCCUCGGCGGAGGGUAUCGGCGGCAGCCAGGCGCGGGCCUCGGCGGAGGGCGUCGGCGGUGGCCAGCGGCGCCGGCAGCGGGGCCCUCGGAGGGGCGGCCGGAAAACGGCGGACGGCGCCGGCGCGGGAAGCAGCGGCCACCGGCGCGUGUAAGACGACUGAGGUUCUGCUCCUCGGCCACGUAGCUGCGGUUACGCCCUAGACAAGCGGGAGGAGCGAGCGGCAACUGCGGCGGUAUCCGCCUCCACGGCGACGAGGUGCCCUAGGCCGUUCCAGCAGAAGGUAGUGCUGUCGGGUAGUGCCCACGUCCACUGACCCCGCACCAUCAGCAGGGCUAGUAGAGAUGACAGGGGUACGGUUCGCCACCAGGAAGGGCCACCGGGAACGAGGAAGCGGUCGCGCGGAGGCGCGGCCCGGCGGCGGAGACGAGGAGGCGGUCUCGGGACGGCGCGGGCCAGCGUCGGAGCGCGCGGAGGCACGGCCGGGAGGUGCGGAGAGGCGCGUGCGGCGUCUGCCGGGAGGAGUGGAGGGUGCUGUGCGGGCUCCUCGAGUUGACUGCUGCUGUGGGUAGAGGAAAGUCCACAGCCAACCGGACGUCCAGCACACCAGCCUCCACGAACACACCCGCCUCCACGAGCACGCCCUACUUUGAAACCUGCUAGAUACAAGUACAGUAAUGACAAAUAUUUAUAGAAGACAACAAGAUCUACUAUCAGAACUGAAAAGACCACAAGUACCGCCAUUGAUUCCAUAUAGAUACAACAUCAGCUGUUCCUCCGGAUGGAUACUACGGGCACGUCAACUUUUACAAACGUUCCGUCGGAUACUACAGACCAACCUCCGGAUGAAUACUACAGUCUAACAACAUGUGCCUUUAAAACGCCCUAUCAAACGUUUAACCCUCAAAUACAAAAAGAAUCAAUCGAAAAUUCUAACAACAUCAAUUUUGUACUCUACCUUCGGAGUAUAACUUAUGAAUCGAUACAAUGUUUAAAUAUCAUCACCGAUAGAAGAUGUAGUCGGACACAAGUUUAUCAGAUAAAACAUACAAACAAGUGUCUUCAACUAAUAGGAUCGUAUGUUGAUGGGAGGCCAGCACUUCGGAAUCUAACUUAUGUUUCGAUACAACGGUUACUAGAGUAUUGGAACGGACAGUGUAACGUGGAUACUAUACUCCUCAUGUUGUUUAAAAUGUUUAUCUUGUAUAUAUUAAACACCAUCGUCUUAAUGUAAAUCAUGACUUAUAAACUAAUUAUUAGGAAUGAGGCAUACCUCGUUUCAGAUGUUGGCAAUAUAGAUUUCAUCAAAUUGAAACUAUGAUCCGUCACCCAUACGAUUCGAAACGGUGAAAGACUUCACACAACUUUAUCCUCAAGGUCAAGAACUAAAAAGUCCUUUGACUUCUUCUCGCAAACUCCUUUCUCCUCUUCACCCUCCGUGUCCUUCUAUUCUUCCCCUCUUCCCUCCCCCCUUUGCUCUUCAACGAGUUCUUCUUAUGAUCUUUGCGGAAUGGUCAUCCGAAAGCAACGUUACAAAAGUAACUAAUAACCUACUCAGAAGGAGAACUAACAAAAAAAUCCAUUCAAGUACUAGUGUAACUUUUAUACACUACCUAUGUACCUCAAAACACCUACUGGACUAAAUAACCCGGAAAAACUCUAAAAACAAACCUUAAUUAUAAGUCGUGUUGGUAACGG